rnacentral:lncRNA from 1 species
AAAAGUUGCACCAUAACAUUUAUUUAAGCUCAGCGUUGUUUUAAAAUGUUAUCAAAAGUGGCAGAGAAGUUAUUUAUUCUCUUUUCUUAUUUUUCAUUCCAUGUUUGGUUGACUGGAGCUUCUCCCAAGAGAACUUAAGUGCAGAGCCAGCAGUACUACAUCCUAAAAUACUGUCAGUGAGAUGCAAAUCUAACAGCUCUAUGGGAGAACUCUUUAGCUUUUCCUUCAUUUUGCAUGUUGGGGAGAUGAUACAACAGUUAAACUUCAUAUCUUCUUUGAGAAGCAGGUUGUUUGAUGAGUUGUUGGUGAGAAGAAAAUCUACUAGAAAAAUACAAUAUUCUUUCUUUUGGUCCAUCACUGCAAGUUUCUACAAGGUUGAGAAAUUUUCCUGCAGCUGUAUGGGAUGUACAUCAUAUAAUCACAGAGCACAUAAUGACAAUGUGAAAAUGUGCUUCCAGCAAGAACAUCAGGGAUGGAACAUAGGAGCUAUUUAACAACAGAUUACCAAAUGUUCUGAGAAGACAGAAAAAACAUGGCUAUUCUGGCAAGAAAGGGGAGGCCAGAGAAAGAGAAAGUGGAUUCAGUGUUUAACAAUAACUAAGAAUUUACUAAUCAGGAUGACACAUAAGCAGAAGAACAACUUGUACAAAAUGAUAAAGGUAUGAAAGAACUUGGCAUUUGUGAAUAGUCCUACAUGAUAAAACUUUUCUACUGACUUAACCCAGUAAAAGAGCUAAAGGGCAUCUUUACAGCACAGUCUUUAAUACACUACUAAGUAUUCCUAAUCUCUGAAAUUCCUUGAUUCUAUCUAUGCACUAGUGCGAAAGAUUCACUAAUACCAUACACUCAUAAUUCAGAGAAUUUCUCAGGCUAAUUGGACAGGGAUGCUUUUCAGUGUGUCUCUCUGGGGUACCAGUCUUCCAGAUGUCACUAGUUAAGAAAUUGCAACUUGGAUGUGUGUUAUAUAGGUGCAUCCCUGUUUAAUUAUUCACUUUUCAAAAUAUGGUGAAUACAGCUACCACACUUG